CCUACGGGAGGCAGCAGUGAGGAAUAUUGGGCAAUGGGGGCAACCCUGACCCAGCCAUGCCGCGUGAGUGAAGAAGGUCUUCGGAUUGUAAAGCUCUUUCGGACGUGACGAUGAUGACGGUAGCGUCUAAAGAAGCACUGUCAAACUUCGUGCCAGCAGCCGCGGUAAUACGAAGGGUGCGAGCGUUGUUCGGAAUUACUGGGCGUAAGGGGAGUGUAGGCGGAUUUGUAAGAUAGCGGUGAAAUGCCGGGGCUCAACCCCGGAACUGCCAUUAUGACUAUGUAUCUAGAGUAAUGGAGAGGAUAGCGGAAUACCCAGUGUAGAGGUGAAAGUCGUAGAUAUUGGGUAGAACACCGGUGGCGAAGGCGGCUAUCUAGCCAUUUACUGACGCUGAGGCUCGAAAGCAUGGGUAUCAAACAGGAUUAGAUACCCUUGUAGUC
rnacentral:rRNA from 1 species